GCUUCUUCCGGUUCUCUAUGGUUUGCUGGGCGGAGCGGUAGAGCACGCUUCUGGUUACCCUGGCAACGGAGGACGCCGGAAACCAGACAGUUGAGCGGCCCUUCUGGUGAUGGCGAGAUUCAUCAAGAGGAGAAACAGCCAAGUGAUUUUUCGUCCAUUUGUAAUUUCUUGACUCCUCAGAUUAUCUCGCGCCCUCGCGUUUCUUCUGACACCUGUGCCGAUUGGCUGUAUAUCUUCGAAUAGCAUUGUCCAUAUGGUGAUACAAAAUGCAAAACCAUUCGCAGCGUGGAAUUGGGUGUGACGUCUUUAGCCUCAUUCCCUGGCUAUUGUAGGACCCAGCCAUCAUGAAUUAUGUAUGUAUUGUUUUGUCAGCGUCUUUGCUUUUAAACUCAUAUUUACGCUUCCUUCUUCCCCUGCCACUUGUUUUUCAGGGAUUAGCUUUCGUGUCUUACAUCAGAAGAGCUUGUUGACAUCUCACCUGCUCUCCCUCUCCAUUUGGAUUCCUGGAAUUAGGUGCUCGCCUACGUUUUCCUUUUAUAGCCCGUGCUUCGUGAUAAUUAAGAGAAUGAAUUUGGGGUUGGAAUCCAGACUCUAACACAAAAUGACUGUGUAACCUUGGGCGAUUAAGAUAUAAAAAUUAAUACGUAACAUUUACUGAUGUAAGUUGUUCCAGUAACUUUACAUAUAUUAACUAAAUUAAUCUUUACAUCUGUAUGACAUACAUGGUUUAAAAUGGAGCCUCUAAAUUUAAACUGCUGAGUGAAAUCCUGGCUCUGCCAUUAGAUUGGCAGAGCCAUUGGAAAAGCUUGUUAAGUACUCUAUGACUUGGGCCUCGUCUGUAAAAUAGAAUACUAUUAGUCACAUUCGCUUACUGAACUUUUUAAAAAUUUUUAUUAUUUUAAAAUUGUUUUAUGAAGAAUAAAUAAUAAAAGUCAAGCACCAGGCAGGAGUUAUUAUCAUCAUCCUGUUUUAUCAUCUAAUCAUCCUCUUUUAACUGCCUAGAUGGGAAAAACUCCUUUAAAUCAGGCACUUUAGUCUAUUGGUGUCUGUAUUUCUUUGUAUCAGAACAUCCACUGUAUGUCUCAAGUUAACUGUUCACAUUUAGUCAUUCUGUUUUCUCCAAUUUAAUAUUAAAAUGAUGAAAUACCUUGCU